UACAGAGGGUGCAAGCGUUGUUCGGAAUUAUUGGGCGUAAAGCGCGUGUAGGCGGCAUGGCAAGUCGGGUGUGAAAGCCCUCAGCUUAACUGAGGAAGUGCGCCCGAAACUGCCGUGCUUGAGUGCCGGAGAGGGUGGCGGAAUUCCCCAAGUAGAGGUGAAAUUCGUAAGAUAUGGGGAGGAACACCGGUGGCGAAGGCGGCCACCUGGACGGUAA
rnacentral:rRNA from 1 species